rnacentral:rRNA from 1 species
CGUUUAUGACCAGACUUGGGCUUGGUUAAUCAUCUGGGGUUCUCCCCAGUGCACUUUUCCAGUCCAGGCCAGCAUCAGUUUUCCCCGGGGGAUAAAGGCGGCGGGAAUGUGGCUCUCUUCGGGGAGUGUUAUAGCCCACCGUGUAAUACCCUGGGGGGGACUGAGGUUCGCGCAUCUGCAAGGAUGCUGGCGUAAU